UUCAAAAAGUAGAACAUUUUGUAUCAGUUUUACAUCAGUCAAAAAUGGAAUAACAAAAAUAAGGUCAUGGUCUUCAUGUUCAAUCAUCGGCAGUUGCGAGUUGCAGAGACAAAAGCUCUUCUUCAGGUAUAACUCUAAUAUGGCAAUCUGAUCUGGGAUAAGCUGCGCAUAGUAAUGCAUAACCUCUCUCCACAACAUCAUCACUUAGCAUACCUUCACUUUGAUCCACAUUCCCACUUAGAAGCUUUGCUGGACAAGUCAUGCACACUCCUAGCUUGCAGUCGUAUGGUACGGACAUGCCAACGUCAAUUGCCUUUGACAAGAUUGUCUCAUCAGGUUCAACUUCCAGCUCUGUAGUUUUACCUUCAUGUUCUACUAUUACUUUAUAAGCUCGAACUACACUCGAUACUCGUCGGUUUUCUCUUCUCCUGACUGACCAAGGACUGUUUAGCUUAAUAGCAGCAAGAUUGG
rnacentral:misc_RNA from 1 species